AGCAGCCGCGGUAAUUCCAGCUCCAAUAGCGUAUAUUAAAGUUGUUGCAGUUAAAAAGCUCGUAGUUGAAUUUCGGGAUCAAUAUGUUGGUCGUGCCUUGGUACGUACUGGCAUUAUCGAUUCCUACCUUCUGAAGAACCUCGAUGUCAUUAAUUUGGUGUCUUGGGGAAUCAGGACUGUUGCUUUGAAAAAAUUAGAGUGUUUAAAGCAGGCUCGCGCUUGAAUACAUUAGCAUGGAAUAAUGAAAUAGGACGUUUGAUUCUAUUUUGUUGGUUUCUAGGAUCGACGUAAUGAUUAAUAGGGAUAGUUGGGGGCAUUAGUAUUCAAUUGUCAGAGGUGAAAUUCUUGGAUUUAUUGAAGACUAACUACUGCGAAAGCAUUUGCCAAGGAUGUUUUCAUUAAUCAAGAACGAAAGUUAGGGGAUCGAAGACGAUCAGAUACCGUCGUAGUCUUAACCAUAAACUAUGCCGACU
rnacentral:rRNA from 1 species